rnacentral:tRNA from 1 species
GCCUGGGUGGCUCAGUCGGUUAAGCUCUGACUUUGGCUCAGGUCAUGAUCUCGCGGUUCGUGGGUUUGAGCCCCACUUUGGGCU